AAAGUAAGCUUAACAGCUAGUGAAAUAGUACCUGAAACCGUAUGUCUACAAACUGUCGAAGUCCGCAAGGACGACGGCGUGCCUUUUGCAUAAUGAGCCAGCAAGUUACUCGUAUCUAGCAAGGUUAAAUAUCUCAGAUAUGGAGCCGUAGGGAAACCAAGUCUUAAUAGGGCGUUUAGUUAGGUGCGGUAGACGCGAAACCGAGUGAUCUUACCAUGACCAGGUUGAAGCAUCAGUAAAAUGAUGUGGAGGACCGAACCCACUUGGGUUGAAAACCGAGGGGAUGAGUUGUGGUAAGGGGUGAAAGGCCAAUCAAACUCGGUGAUAUCUCGUUCUCUUCGAAAUGCAUCUAGGUGCAGCGUUACAGUAUAGUGUGAUGGAGGUAGAGCACUGAAUGGGCUAGGGGGCAUACCCGCUUACCAAACCCAAUUAAACUCCGAAUGCCAUUUACAUGUUUUGUAGCAGUGAGGCUAUGUGAGAUAAGUUUCAUAGCCAAGAGGGAAACAACCCAGACCUACAGCUAAGGCCCCUAAAUUAUAACUAAGUGAUAAAGGUUGUGUGUCAGCACAGACAGCUAGAAGGUUGGCUUAGAAGCAGCCAUUCCUUUAAAGAAAGCGUAACAGCUCACUAGUCAAGGUGAUGUGCGCCGAUAAUUUCCGGGACUCAAGUUAUAUGCCGAAGCUUAGGACUUUGCUUCGCAAAGUGGUAGAAGAGCGUUCCAUUAACCGUCGAAGGUUGAUUCGUGAGAACAACUGGAGGAGAUGGAAAUGAGGAUGCUGGCAUGAGUACGCGAUAAAACACGUUAAAUUCGUGUUCACCGUAAGCCUAAGGUUUCCUGAUCAACGUAAAUCGUAUCAGGGUUAGCCGGCCCCUAAGAUAAGGCCGAAAGGCGUAGUCGAUGGGAAUCAGGUUUUUAAAUAUUCCUGAGCCUCCGAACCUUAAACUAGGAUCUCCAUCAUCCAGAUUUUUUACACUUAUUGAUUUGUGUAAAAAAAGUAAGUGGUGGCAAGAAAAAGCCUAGUGUAUGCUAAGGAGACCGUACCGCAAUCCGACACAGGUAGGCGAGAUGAGUAUUCUCAGGUGCUUGAGUGAAUUCUGGUUAAGGAACUCGGCAAAUUAGCCUCGUAACUUCGGGAUAAGAGGUGCCUGCUUCGGCAGGCCGCAGUGAAGAGGGGGUAGCGACUGUUUACUAAAAACAUAGGUCUAUGCUAACACGUAAGUGGAAAUAUAUGGACUGACACCUGCCCGGUGCUGGAAGGUUAAGAGGAAGGGUUAGAAUCUUCGGAUUCGAAGCUCCGAAUUGAAGCCCCAGUAAACGGCGGCCGUAACUAUAACGGUCCUAAGGUAGCGAAAUUCCUUGUCGGGUAAGUUCCGACCUGCACGAAUGGUGUAACGACUUCCCUACUGUCUCGACCAGAAACUCAGUGAAAUUGUACUGCCGGUGAAGAUGCCGGUUACCCGUAGAAGGACGGAAAGACCCCGUGAACCUUUACUACAGCUUGAUAUUGGCUUUAGAUUCUAUAUGUGUAGGAUAGGUGGGAGACUUUGAAGCGGGCACGCUAGUGUUCGUGGAGUCAUCCUUGAAAUACCACCCCUAUAU
rnacentral:rRNA from 1 species